GUGAAGACCUAGAUGUUGAACAUAAUUUUAAAGAGAUACAUAACAUGUUUUCCCUCCACACCAAACCCAGCAGUACCAAGAAAUAAGAAUAAUGCUAUAUUUACUGCACAGAUUUGAUAGGAAGGAUUGAGAACAUAGAACAGAGAGCACAUGUUCAGCAAUGAAGAUAAAAUGUAAUAGUAAACAGCUGUCUCAAUUCCUUGACCUUGGGGUAAUUUCUGUACCAAAUACAGACUGACUUCUCUGUUAAAAUAGCAUGUGACCACAUCAUUGAAGACCACAAAAGAACACAAAAAUGAAGGCUUACCAGACAAUCUGAAACGUGUUGUUACAGCUCACUGAGAAAUUCAAAAAAUAAUUCUGCAAGAUAUUUUAAAUGUGUUUCAUUUUGAAAUGUCUGAAAUGUCAUCGUUUUAAUGUGUUUGAAAGCAGUACUGAAAAUGGUGUUGAACUAAAAACAUUUGCAUAUUGAAACUUUUUUAGAAAUUAAGAACAGGAGAUCCUGAGAGAACAUUCAGCAACCUGGACAUUCAGUUGCUUAUUUCCUUAUGAAACUGGUCUUAAAUCCAGUCGAUGAGAACUUGAACUGGAGUCAGUUUUCAAGAGGCCAAGGUUUCUCUCUGGACAAGAAAAGCAUUACUUCUGACAGACUGUGGGACGUUGCUGGCCGUUUAGCUUCUACCUCUCCACAAGCAGAACCAGGCACAAGCCACUUCAGAAUUAAGGAUUCACUUACAUCAGUACCGAAUGAGUGCAAAAUGAAUGGACCUAAGUGAAUACUGAUUCAGGUUUCCAUUUCUACAUUGCUUCCUUAUUGAUGGAGUUCUUCAGCCCCUCUUCACUUGACAGAGAUUUACACAAUCAUCUACACAUGAGUUAAAAUACAAAAAGAACGCUUAAAUUCUUUUAUAAGAAUGUCAGAUCAUACACUGUAAAUCAUUAACAAGUUUUUUUCCUUAGUAUUUCAUUUCAUUUCAUACUCCUAUCCAUCUUGUAUUGCUUUCCACUCGCUUACUGAAAACUAUUUAAAGUUUGUAAGUAAACUAAAAUGUAAAACUGAAAUACUAAAAUAUAAAAUGUGCAGUCUUUUUUUACAUCCCUCUAUCAUCUCUUUGGUGUUCUGCACAAUAAUAAUAAAUGCUCUGUUUUUCUUAUAUUUCUGUUCCUAUCAUGAUAAUGCAUUAUUUUUUAA